CACGGCGCACGGGUGCGUAACACGUGGGCAAUCUGCCCUCCGGUGGGGAAUAACCCCGCGAAAGCGGGGCUAAUUCCGCAUAACAUUCCUCGGACCUCGGUUCGGGGAUUCAAAGCAGUGAUGCGCCGGAGGAGGAGCCCGCGCCCGAUUAGCUAGUUGGUGAGGUAACGGCUCACCAAGGCAAUGAUCGGUAGCUGGUCUGAGAGGAUGGCCAGCCACACUGGAACUGAGACACGGUCCAGACCCCUACGGGAGGCAGCAGUGGGGAAUCUUGCGCAAUGGGCGAAAGCCUGACGCAGCGACGCCGCGUGGGGGAUGAAGCUUUUCGGAGUGUAAACCCCUUUCGACCGGGACGAAUGCCCGCAAGGGUUUGACGGUACCGGUAUAAGAAGCCCCGGCUAACUACGUGCCAGCAGCCGCGGUAAGACGUAGGGGGCCAGCGUUGCUCGGAAUUACUGGGCGUAAAGGGUUCGUAGGCGGUGCGGUAAGUCGGAAGUGAAAUCUCUGGGCUUAACUCAGAGGCUGCUUUCGAAACUGCCGUGCUAGAGUGCGGGAGAGGCGAGUGGAAUUACAGGUGUAGCGGUGAAAUGCGUAGAUAUCUGUAGGAACACCCGUGGCGAAGGCGGCUCGCUGGACCGCAACUGACGCUGAGGAACGAAAGCUAGGGGAGCAAACAGGAUUAGAUACCCUGGUAGUCCUAGCCCUAAACCAUCAGGACUUGGGGUGGCCCGCGUUGGCGGGUCGUCCCGGAGCUAACGCGUUAAGUCCUGCGCCUGGGGAGUACGGUCGCAAGGCUGAAACUCAAAGGAAUUGACGGGGGCCCGCACAAGCGGUGGAACAUGUGGUUCAAUUCGA
rnacentral:rRNA from 1 species